rnacentral:rRNA from 1 species
CACGUGAGCAACCUGCCCCGAAGACUGGGAUAACAGCGGGAAACCGCUGCUAAUACCGGAUGCCCCCAUCGGACCACAUGGCCUGAUGAGGAAAUGGAUUCCGCUUCGGGAGGGGCUCGCGGCCUAUCAUGCUUGUUGGUGGGGUAACGGCCCACCAAGGCUUCGACGGGUAGCUGGUCUGAGAGGACGAUCAGCCACACUGGGACUGAGACACGGCCCAGACUCCUACGGGAGGCAGCAGUGGGGAAUAUUGCGCAAUGGGCGAAAGCCUGACGCAGCAACGCCGCGUGAGGGAUGAAU